rnacentral:rRNA from 1 species
CCUACGGGAGGCAGCAGUGGGGAAUAUUGCACAAUGGGGGAAACCCUGAUGCAGCGACGCCGCGUGAGUGAAGAAGUAAUUCGGUAUGUAAAGCUCUAUCAGCAGGGAAGAAAAUGACGGUACCUGAGUAAGAAGCCCCGGCUAACUACGUGACAGCAGCCGCGGUAAUACGUAGGUGGCAAGCGUUAUCCGGAGUUACUGGGUGUAAAGGGAGCGUAGACGGCAGGGCAAGUCUGGAGUGAAAGGCGGGGGCUCAACCCCCGGACUGCUGUGGAAACUGUACGGCUGGAGUGCAGGAGAGGUAAGCGGAAUUCCUAGUGUAGCGGUGAAAUGCGUAGAUAUUAGGAGGAACACCAGUGGCGAAGGCGGCUUACUGGACUGUAACUGACGUUGAGGCUCGAAAGCGUGGGGAGCAAACAGGAUUAGAUACCCGUGUAGUC